rnacentral:rRNA from 1 species
AUGCAAGACCGCAGCUGGACCGCGGAGCGCCUCGCAUUCCACGGACUGCCCCAUGGUGAUGCAUGCGCCCUUUGCGACCAGGAGGAGGAGACCAUGCCCCAUCUCCUUGCCGGCUGCUCUUUCUCUCGCCAAGUUUGGCACGAGAUCCUCGGUUGGGUACGUGUGCCCAUCGGCCUCCCCGCCCCUGACACGCCUUUUCAGCUCUGGUGGAGAUCCUCUCUCGAGCUCGCGCCGGCAGCCAUGCGCAAGGGUCUAUCCUCCCUCAUCAUCCUGUCAGCUUGGUGGAUUUGGAAGCACCGCAAUGCUUGCAUUUUUGAUGGAGCUGCACCAUUGAUCACCUUCACCUCCGAUACCAUCAAGGACGAGGCGCGCCUCUGGGCCAAGGCGGGCGCCACCGGACUACAUAACAUUAUCCCCGGUGCUUAG